UACGGGGGGGCAAGCGUUGUUCGGAAUUACUGGGCGUAAAGCGUGCGCAGGCGGUGAUGUAAGACAGGUGUGAAAUCCCCGGGCUUAACCUGGGAACUGCAUUUGUGACUGCAUCGCUGGAGUGCGGCAGAGGGGGAUGGAAUUCCGCGUGUAGCAGUGAAAUGCGUAGAUAUGCGGAGGAACACCGAUGGCGAAGGCAAUCCCCUGGGCCUGCACUGACGCUCAUGCACGAAAGCGUGGGGAGCAAACAGG
rnacentral:rRNA from 1 species